rnacentral:lncRNA from 1 species
AGGGGCAGCACCCCCUGUUUGCUGCCUUUCCAGGGAGGGCAGCACGAGAAAGAAAGAGGGAGGCAAGCGAAAUUCCUGAAUGGAUAGACAGAUGCUACGUCAUCGGAGCCGCAUCCUCCACUCCACAAGAGGCUAGGAGCCGGAGAAAGAGGCAGGCCAGCGGCAGGGGCCACCGAGCCAGCGCGCCUCCUCCCAGAAGCCGGAGCAGAGCAUCGGAGAAGAAGCAGCCUCAUUUGCUUCUGGUGUCAUCGUAGGUGUCCACCUUUGGCUUUGGGGGAGACCAUUUGCUUAUGGCUGACCACCUCUGUCACCUUCCUGGCUCCAUAAGGCUCUCAAGCAAGUGAGCGGUGUGUUGAGUUGAAGGAGAGAACUGAGAGCCAUCGGGGGAGGCAGUGCUUAGACAAACCUGAGGAAUUCUCAGGCUGGCCUCGAACAGGAGGAAACACACUUUGUGGGAAGAGAAGGGUGGUAUCUCUGGGGAGAAAUCAUCCAGAUUAUAUCUCCAUUCCCUUUAAACUCAUCUGCCUAUAUAGAGGUUGAUUUUGUGUUGUUUUUUUUUUUGCAGCUUCCCAAUUUUUUUUUUUACUGCCAAUUCUUGCUUUUAUCUGGUGCAAUCCCAUAGAAAAUGCAAAUAUUCUGUAGCAAAAGAAUAAUGUAUGAUAAUGUUCACAAUAAUGAACCACUAAGACAGAAAUAAAUAUCUGAACCCACCCUCUUCCA